AGCAGAUCGGCAGAUACACGAACUCGGAUAAUACAGGGAAAAUACGGAGUAAAACAAACGUUUGAGUCGUCGAUUCGUUGCUUCGGUUCGCUGGCACUGUGACAAACUGCAUUACUGAAGAACUCUGGAUGCUAAAACAAGCUUUGGAGCUGUUUUUGUCGAACACGAGUGAGGCUGGACGCUGAAACAUCUGCGGCGAAGGUGUCACCACUUCGUCCACAACACCGUCCACGAUGGCAGAACCAUGGUCCAUGAUCGGAGAGACAUUGUUGAGGAUGAGGGAGACAUCGUCCACGAUCAGAGACAUUGUCCAUGACUCGUGGUGACUCGGUCCCCGAUAAGUCGGCGCUGCCGGCGUUCAGAGAGACAUUGUCGAUGAUCGCAGAGACUUUGUCCAUAAUCUCAGAGACAUUGUCCGCGAUCGCAGAGACGUCUUCCAUGAUCGCAGAGACAUGGUCCAUGAUUGGAGAGACAUUGUUGAGGAUGAGGGAGACAUCGUCCACGAUCAGAGACAUUGUCCACGAUCGCAGAGACCUUGUCAAAGAUGAGAGAGACGUUGUCCAUGAUCAGAGACAUUGUCCCAUGCUUCGCAGAGCUCUGCGCAAGAAUCGGUAGUGACACUGUGGUUCCUCGAUUCGACGGCAUGACCGCGAUCAGGAGACAUUGUUAAUGAUCACAGAGAAACAGUCUAUCAUCUUAGAGACAUUGUCCACGAUCACAAAGACAUUGUCCAUGAUCACAGAGACUUUGUCCAUAAUCUCAGAGACAUUGUCCGCGAUCACAGAGACGUAGUCCACGAUCACAGAGAGCCAUCGUACAACGAAGAAGGUCUUUGAGUCCAGGACAGAGUCCUCCAGGUGUCACCACUUCGUCCACAACACCGUCCACGAUGGCAGAACCAUGGUCCAUGAUCGGAGAGACAUUGUUGAGGAUGAGGGAGACAUCGUCCACGAUCAGAGACUUUGUCCAUGACUCGUGGUGACUCGGUCCCCGAUAAGUCGGCACUGCCGGCGUUCAGAGAGACAUUGUCGAUGAUCGCAGAGACUUUGUCCAUAAUCUCAGAGACAUUGUCCGCGAUCGCAGAGACGUCUUCCAUGAUCGCAGAGACAUGGUCCAUGAUUGGAGAGACAUUGUUGAGGAUGAGGGAGACAUCGUCCACGAUCAGAGACAUUGUCCACGAUCGCAGAGACCUUGUCAAAGAUGAGAGAGACGUUGUCCAUGAUCAGAGACAUUGUCCCAUGCUUCGCAGAGCUCUGCGCAAGAAUCGGUAGUGACACUGUGGUUCCUCGAUUCGACGGCAUGACCGCGAUCAGGAGACAUUGUUAAUGAUCACAGAGAAACAGUCUAUCAUCUUAGAGACAUUGUCCACGAUCACAAAGACAUUGUCCAUGAUCACAGAGACUUUGUCCAUAAUCUCAGAGACAUUGUCCGCGAUCACAGAGACGUAGUCCACGAUCACAGAGAGCCAU